CUGGGGAUAAUACAGGGAGCUGAUCAGCAAUGCAUAAUUGGUCUACUGGCCAAGAUGGCGGUGGAUAGAUCGUUAAAUUAAAGUUUAAUAUGUUUAGGGAGCUGAUCAGCAAUGCAUAAUUGGUCUACUGGCCAAGAUGGCGGUGGAUAGAUCGUUAAAUUCAAGUUUAGUUGAUGCUAAGGAAGCGUUUAUUAACGCCUGUAUAGAUUCAAUAUCAAGAUGGAAAAUGAUUCAGUGUAUCUCACAGCCUGGAGUUCUUCCAAUCAGUCCUAGUCUAGCUCUUCUCCCUCUUUAUGUUCUAGCUCUGCUCAAAUCCCAAGCUUUCUCAGCUAGGUAUAGUUCAUAAAGUACAUACAGAACACG